rnacentral:rRNA from 1 species
CCUACGGGGGGCAGCAGUGGGGAAUAUUGGACAAUGGGCGAAAGCCUGAUCCAGCCAUGCCGCGUGUGUGAAGAAGGCCUUCGGGUUGUAAAGCACUUUCAGUGGGGAAGAAAGCCUUGGGGCUAAUACCCUCGAGGAAGGACAUCACCCACAGAAGAAGCACCGGCUAACUCCGUGCCAGCAGCCGCGGUAAUACGGAGGGUGCGAGCGUUAAUCGGAAUUACUGGGCGUAAAGCGCGCGUAGGCGGUCUGAUAAGCCGGUUGUGAAAGCCCCGGGCUCAACCUGGGAACGGCAUCCGGAACGGUCAGGCUAGAGUGCAGGAGAGGAAGGUAGAAUUCCCGGUGUAGCGGUGAAAUGCGUAGAGAUCGGGAGGAAUACCAGUGGCGAAGGCGGCCUUCUGGACUGACACUGACGCUGAGGUGCGAAAGCGUGGGUAGCAAACAGGAGUAGAUACCCGAGUAGUC